UAGCAACAUCAAAGAGGCAAUUUUUUGGCACAAAUUCAGUACAGAGCUAUUUGAACUUGAAGAUCACUGGCAUAUAUGUGGUGAUCGGAUUGUGGUUGAAAUUGCCUAGAACAGAGAACAUACGGAAGAUGAGGAUCUAGAAGGAAGCUGCAAGAGACCCUACAUUUCACGGCCAAUUGGAAGAGAAGAACUUGCAGAGCGGAUAGAAAAGAAGCAGGGGACAUUUGGCACCUUCUGCUUUGUAACUCAGCAGAUUUGGAGGAUUUUCUUAUUUACCUUAGAGCUUGAAGAGCAACUUAAGAUUCGUCCUGUUUUUACUGCUUGAACAGUUAGUUCCCAGUGAGGCUACAAGGAGAAGUCAUCCAUUUGCAACCUGGAAGAGAGCUUGCACCAGAACCAGACCGUGCUGGCACCCUGAUCUCGAACUUCCAGCCUCCAGAACCGUAAGAAAUAAAUUUCUGUUGUUUAUAAGCCACCCAGUGUAUGGUAUUUUUGUUGUAGCAACCCAAAC